rnacentral:rRNA from 1 species
UACGAAGGGGGCUAGCGUUGCUCGGAUUGACUGGGCGUAAAGGGCGCGUAGGCGGCUUGGUAAGUUUGAUGUGAAAGCCCGGGGCUCAACCCCGGAACGGCACCCGAGACUGGGCGGCUCGAGACCGGGAGAGGUGGGUGGAAUACCCAGUGUAGAGGUGAAAUUCGUAGAUAUUGGGUGGAACACCGGUGGCGAAAGCGGCUCACUGGCCCGGUUCUGACGCUGAGGCGCGAAAGCGUGGGGAGCAAACAGG